AGUACGUUUACUUUCGUUUGAGUAUCAAUUAACCACAUAGUCUUUGUCGUUCAAGGCUAAUGAGGUGUUUCUUUGUGGGGGGAAACUUAUCAACUUAUCAAUCUCUAAACCGGUUUGUCUUGGACUAGUCAUGCACUUAAUAACAGCCAAGAGAAAUAUUUGAUCUGUGGAUGACAUCACCAUUUUAAAAGGAGUGACGUUUAAAAGACUCACGUCCAUCACAUGUCCAACUUGUUCGAUUCCUCUGGCGAAAUGAAUUUCCAUUUCUUCUGGAAAACACCGAUGUUUUUAUGUUGGUGGAAUAAUCGGCCGCAAUAUAUCUUGCAUGAUUGAGGUUUGAUCCCUUUUGGCGGUGCGAAAAUUUCCAACAACCGCACUGAUGCCUAAUUUGCCCCCCUCGGGAGUUACUACGACGCCGGAAAAUUCCAAAAAACAUUGGAAACAAAAUAAAAUCGCACUUGCCGCAAUAUCGCGGUUACAAAAUCAGCGUCACGAUUUGUCGAGCGGAUAAUCUGCAGUUUGACAUUACAUCACUUGUUUUCUUAGCUAUCGGUUGACCCAUUUUACGAUCAAAUUGGUUCAACAAUAGAAUGUUAUAUAUUCAACAUUCGUGAGCGAAUGAUUGGACAAGGUCUUUAAUCAAAGGUGGGCGAUUGUCAACGAGUCGAACCGUGAAAACGUGAGAACUGAUAAACAUCGACAUUAGCUGAUGAUUCGUUUCACUGCCAAGGCCUUUAACAUUUGAUUGCGGAAAAGAAAAGAUGACGUCGAUACCAAAUUACGUAGUUACCCGUAUCGGAAAAAAAAAUAGCCAAGGACACGACAGAAUCUAAGCGAGAGUCGUUCAGAUUCAUAGCUGACUAGCAACAACAUACUAACAAAAACCAAAAACCAAAAAACGUGUUUAUUGCUGAACACAAUCAAGGGCAUCAUUCAGUUUAUUGUUUCGCUCUCCCAUCAGCCGCUCGGUUUUUACAAGAUUUUAGGGUUUUGUAUCACUUGAUUUCGGAGUCCUUGAAAUUUCAAUCGAUUGGACCGAUGCUAAAUUUCCAACAGGGAAAUUCCGCUACAACAAGGCGGUUUA